UUUUGCAAAUAAAUCCCUCUCUAUUUCUCUCUUCUUCCCCUUCGCCCCUUCCACUCCCUCUACUGGUCUCCUCCCCCGAAGCGCUCUCUCUCUCCCGAGUCCCCCCUUUUUCCCUGCCUCCGGCGAGCUCGCCUCACCCAUCUUGGCUAUUCCCAUGAGACCCCUUCCUCCGGCACCGCAUUGACGCUGCAAAGCUCCUGCACUACCGCCUGGACGCCGAACGCGCGCGAGCCACCUCGCCCGCAGGCCUUCUUCUCCACUUCCGGCCAAGCGCCGCCAGUCCCGAGCUGCUUCCCCGUGGGAGCUGCGCAUCGACGCCCCAAGUGCACCGCCGCCUUCUCCUGAGCCCACGGUUGCCUAAGUCGCCUUGGCACCUGACAUGUGGCCCAAAUAGCCACGUCAGCAAGAAGCACGCGCCCGAACCACCACAGGACAUGCGCUAAACAACUUAUGAAACAAUUGGAACUCAAACGUGCAAUUUCAAAAAAAUAGGACUAACUUGGAACCUUUACGAAAUAAUUAGGACCUCUGUUUCAUUUUACUCAACUGAAAUGAGUGUUUUCGGCUGCUAUUAUCCCCAUUUAACUAGCGAACUCUUGCAAUAGGCUAACGCGACUAGCAUUUUCUUCAAGAAAAUAUAAGUUCAGUAUUUCUGGCCUCUGCACUACUACAGAAAUGCUUAUCGGUAAUGGUCGAAAAACAACAUUAGUAAUGGUCGGGACCGCCGUUACUAACUUCGUGCUACUGAUAAUGAGUACCUAUCAUCAGUAACGGUCUCUGCGACCGUUAUUAAUGUACCAUCAUCAGUGACGGGCGGCCCGACCCGACCGUUACUGAUGAAUACCAUCAGUGACGGUCACGUUUCCACGCCCGUCACUGAUGAUAUGUACAUCAGUAACGGUCGCUUUGCCACAUUAGUGUCGGGCGAGCGAUCGACACUGAUACAUUUUCGGUAAUUAAAAAAAUAAUUAAAACCACAAAAAAUACAAAAAAAAAUAUAUACAGCACAUCACAUCACAUCACAGCAAAAUGGACAGCCACAUCAUUUAAAUCAUACAAAUGUAUAUAAAGCCGCAUCAUUUAAAGCAUAUAAAGAAUACAAAUGUAUCUCACUUCACGACAUUGAUUAUAAAGUGUCAAAAUUUCAUAAAAGCAUAUAAAGAAUACAAAUGUAUCUCAUUUCAAGUUUGAAGCUAUUGUUGUGGGUGAACCCUAGUCACCACUUGUUCCACACGUUCGUAGAAAUCCCCACUAGGCUUGAUGACCUCAUUGUUGAUGAGAUGGGCGAACUCCCUUUGAAUGUUAUACACGACCCAUUUAGGUCGGUGCACCAUUGUCAUUCGGGGCCGCCAGUACUCUUCCAUCGCCGCGACUGACCCCUUCCACUCAGACUUGAACAUGCUGGCAUUCUCCAUAAGGAUGUGACAGCAGUAGUAGCCACAGAACACACUAUCGGGCGGCUGUUGCUGGCAAGGGAACUUGUGGUUGUGGUGAGGCUCGUCUUUAUAGCCUUUACCAGCUAGUUUUCCCUUGGUCGGCACUUUCCAGGCAGUGUUAAUGAGUGAUUUGAUGGGUUUCCAGUACCGACCUCGAACACCCUUCUUCGGAAGUAGUGAAUCGAAGUAGUACACCGCAGACCAAGGCAAACAAAUGAAUAGUGUCACCCAAUGGUCUCUGUUUUCAAAAGAAACAAACUUUAGUAUCUAAGGGUGUAUAAGAAAGACUGAAUUAGAAAAAAUAAACGGUUCCAUAUAUAAAAUUCAACUUACUCCAAAUUAAGGAAGAAGAGGAUAAAGUCGUGGUCCGCGUAUUUCUCCAGACAUGCCACCAAGUAUUUAGAUGCCAGGGUUCUUGAGGGAUCAUUUUCUGGCUGAAGACUGAUGUCACCGUAGUUCAACACCGCGGGGUCUAGAAUGACUACUUUUUUGACCUCCAUUCGCCACAUUUUCCUUAUUUGGUAGGC
rnacentral:lncRNA from 1 species